rnacentral:rRNA from 1 species
UACGUAGGGUGCAAGCGUUAAUCGGAAUUACUGGGCGUAAAGCGUGCGUAGGCGGUUUUGUAAGUUUUUCGUGAAAUCCCCGGGCUUAACCUGGGAAUUGCGAUGAAGACUGCAAGGCUAGAAUCUGGCAGAGGGGGGUAGAAUUCCACGUGUAGCAGUGAAAUGCGUAGAGAUGUGGAGGAACACCGAUGGCGAAGGCAGCCCCCUGGGUCAAGAUUGACGCUCAUGCACGAAAGCGUGGGGAGCAAACAGG